rnacentral:lncRNA from 1 species
AAGCAGAGUGCCCAGGUUGACCACUACGCCACCAGGCCAGCUCCUGGGCUUUUCCUUUUAUAUCUCCAACGCAGGUUUAGAAUCCGGUUGGUUGGGAAUGACCCUAAUUAAGGUAAGGAUCCCAUAAGAGGGAGCGGGCUUAUGGAGACUGAAAACAAAGCUGAUACCAAAUUCAUUUUUAACCUUCCAGCUGGGUGGUGCUCUGCAAAUCACAGGAAUAAGAGACUCAGUUUUUUCAUUUCUAUCCCAAUAAUUGAUAUCUAGGUCAUGAAAUAUCUAGUUGGUUUUCCUCCCCGCAGAUGAAAACGUGUGUGAUGCUGACGGAGAAAGGCUCAAGCCACAGACAUCCACACCCAAUAAUUAGCUAAUCUAUCCUAAAUGCCAGAGAUGAGUAGGAAAAAAAACAGAAAAAGAAACGACAGCUUUUAUCCACAAUUUGACAGAGCAUUUAACCUGAAAAGGUCCAAAAGAGGAUUAAGAUGGUCCACAGAGUGUUCAUACAAGUUGAUGUGUAAGUUUUUCAAAUGUUUUAAUGUUGAUAUGUCUAUAAAUCAUUCUCUGCAUACAUUUUCUAAUUUAUGCCACCAUAUCCCAAGAUUUUCUUCUAUGAAGCUGAUUUGUGUAUGCAGUAUUAUGAAACUGAUUAUUAAUACACUAACACAUGAUCUUCGACACAUGAUCAUAAGAGUGGGUGUAUUGACUACUCCAAUUUGAAAAUUUCACAUUUGGAGAAAAUAGGCUCAGAGUGAAAUGUGCUUUGAUGAUAAGGCAAAUUAAAAGUGGAACACUGUGCAAAGAUUGUUUAAAAAACACAUCAUGGUCAGGAGACAGCUCGGUAAAUACAAUAGAGAUGUGAAGAUUAUUCCUCUUGCUCCCUAAUAGUGGAGAACACCUCAGUAACUUCAAGGUUGGUUAUCUAUCCACAGGACCGAGUGUUAAGCAUUGUGAUCAAAGGCUGGC